GGACUUUUUUAAGCCCCAGCCCUGGCAUUCACUAGCUAGUCCCUGGAGGAAACACUGUAAAUUUUCCAAGCCUCAGUUUCUUCACAUAGAAAAUGAUUAUAAUGAUUCCUCUUAAAUAAGAUACUGCCAUAUGUUAACAGCAUUUUAUUAGCUAUAAAGUGCGGAAGGGUUUCCUCCCUCUUCAAGAGUCUGCUGGGAUUCCACUGUCAUGGACAACAUUUCAUUCUUAUGAAAUUAAAAUCUCACCUACAGGCAGGAUUCUGCCAGUGCUUAUGCUAUACAGACAUAUGGAAUGCAAAUGUCCUCGGAGGAGCACACAGCCUUGUUGGCAGGAUGAGACAGGAUUCUUGAAAGCUGUACUAAAUGUGACUGGUGCUGAAAAAAAAAUGGAUGUCUUAGGAUAUGUUCUUGCUUUUUAAUGGAAAAAGAAACGUGAAUGCAUAAAUAUGUAUAAUGUGAGAAUAUCUUUCAUACAAAUAGGACAUUAAAUGAUAGUGUCUAUGGAAGCAUGAUGAGAAGAUAUGCUAGGAACGUGCUGGGCACAAUUAGGGGCACGGUAGAAUGUGAGAUAGUCCAGGCUGUGAGUACGGGAUCUGUAGCCAGAAUGCCUGGUUGGAAUCCAGCCUCUGUCAUUUCUUUGCAGUGUGUCUUGAGAAAGUGACUGAACAUCUCGCUGUGCCUCAGUUUCUCCCUCUUCUAAAAGAGGAUGAUGGGGUGCCUAUUUCAUACGGUUGUGAGGAUUAAGUGAUUUGAUGCAUAUAAAAUAUUCAAGAUGGUGCCUGGCAUAUGCUAAACACGAAGUAAAUAUAACCUAUUAUCAUCAUUAUCAAGGACUUGCGGAUAACUGAUGCUACUGAGCCGAUGGAGCGUGGUGUAGCAGAACAGCUCAGGUGCUAGAAAUAGCCAGUCUCAUUGACUCAACUGUGUUUCCUCAGAGAAUCCCGAUUCUCAUUUUUCCUAUCUGUAAAUGGAAGGGAGGAUAGCAAAUAAUAAUAAAUGUUAUUUGGUGACUAUUCUAUGUGUUUAUUUUGCAAGAGGCUCAGUGGGAUAUAGCCUACAGCUUUGCAGAGACAUUGCUCAACACAGAUGCAUGGGAUAGGGGUCCCAUUUGGCUGAGAAAAGGUUAUUGGAAAUGGGAGACGAGGAAGGAGUUUUCCUCACCUGACUCUGGGAAGGGAAGAGAGUCUGGCCCAGAUGGGUAAAGACAAGUGUGUUGGCAUCUGGUAGACAGGGCCAGUGGCACACAACAGUGAACAGCUCUACUGCUGACAGCCAACAGGGACUUCGGGGUUUGGCUGCUGGAGAUGGAGGACCUGGGCAAAAGAGACGUGAGGCCAAGAGAGCAGGUCUCAGAAUGUGGAGCUCAUGGAAGGAGAGAGGGAGGGCUAAUCAGACUGCUCCUAUCUGGCCAGAAGCCAUGCCCCACACUCACCAGGCCCUACCCCUUUUCCUCUGAAUCUUUAGCUCUUAGAUCAGAAAUAAUCUUACGUGUCUUCAGGCUUGAUCCUGGCCUGACGGACAGCAGCCUCUGUCGUGUAGCCUUUGGAGCUGAUCAUGGCAGUACCCAGGAAAAGACUGUCUGGAGAGGCUGCAAAAACCAUGCUCACUGUUCCCAGUCCCCGUACAGA
rnacentral:lncRNA from 10 species